GCUGGUGGCACCAGUGCUCGGGGAGGUGUCUUGUCGUGGCACCCCCGGGAUGGGGGUCCCUGGGGUGACACCCUGAGGGUCCCUGGGGUGGGAGGUCCCUGUCCCAGCACCCUGGGGUGGCACCCUGGGGGUCUCUGGGGUAGGAUGUCCCUGUCCCAGCACCCUGGGGUGGCACCCUGGGGGUCUCUGGGGUGGGAGGUCCCUGGGGUGACACCCUGGGGGUCUCUGGGGUGGGAGGUCCCUGGGGUGGCACUCUGGGGGUCUCUGGGGUGGGGAGUCCCUGUCCCAGCACCCCGGGGUGGCACCCCGGGGGUCUUUAGGGUGGGGGGUCCCUGGGGUGACACCCCGGGGGUCUCUGGGGUGGGGGGUCUCUGGGGUGACACCUUGGGGGUCUCUGGGGUGGGAGGUCCCUGGGGUGGCACCCUGGGGGUCUCUGGGGUGGGGGGUCCCUGGGGUGACACCCCGGGGGUAUCUGGGGUGACACCCCGGGGGUCUCUGGGGUGGGAGGUCCCUGGGGUGACACCCUGGGGGUCUCUGGGGUGGGAGGUGUCUGUCACAGCACCCUGGGGUGGCACCCUGGGGGUCCCUGUCACAGCACUCUGGGGGUCUCUGGGGUGGGAGGUCCCUAUUGCAGCACCCUGGAGGGUCUCUGGGGUUGGGGAUCCCUGUCCCAGCACCCUGGGGUGGCACCCUGGGGGUCUCUGGGGUGGGAGGUCCCUGUCCCAGCACCCCGGGGGUCUCUGGGGUGGGAGGUCUCUAUCACAGCACCCUGGGGGUCUCUGGGGUGGGAGGUCCCUGUCCCAGCACCCUGGGGUGGCACCCUGGGGAUCUCUGGGGGGGGGGGGUCCCUGGGGUGGCACCCUGGGGGUCUCUGGGCACUGGUCACACCAGGGUGGGAGUUGCCGGGAUGGCACCCUGGGGUGGGGGCUCUGAAUGACCUGAAUGACCAGUGAAACCAGUAAAACCA